AGUAUGGAGAGUUUGAUUCUGGCUCAGAGCGAACGUUGGCGAUGCGUCUUAAGCAUGCAAGUCGAGCGGGCUUAUUCGGGCAACUGGAUAAGUUAGCGGCGAACUGGUGAGUAACACGUAGGUAA
rnacentral:rRNA from 1 species